AGUGAACGCUGGCGGUAUGCCUAACACAUGCAAGUCGAACGGCAGCACAGGAGAGCUUGCUCUCUGGGUGGCGAGUGGCGGACGGGUGAGGAAUACAUCGGAAUCUGCCCAGUCGUGGGGGAUAACGUAGGGAAACUUACGCUAAUACCGCAUACGACCUUCGGGUGAAAGAGGGGGAUCGCAAGACCUCUCGCGAUUGGAUGAGCCGAUGUCGGAUUAGCUAGUUGGUGGGGUAAUGGCCCACCAAGGCGACGAUCCGUAGCUGGUCUGAGAGGAUGAUCAGCCACACUGGAACUGAGACACGGUCCAGACUCCUACGGGAGGCAGCAGUGGGGAAUAUUGGACAAUGGGCGCAAGCCUGAUCCAGCCAUACCGCGUGGGUGAAGAAGGCCUUCGGGUUGUAAAGCCCUUUUGUUGGGAAAGAAAUCUUUCAGGCUAAUACCCUGGGAGGAUGACGGUACCCAAAGAAUAAGCAACGGCUAACUUCGUG
rnacentral:rRNA from 1 species